CCUACGGGUUGCAGCAGUGAGGAAUAUUGGUCAAUGGGCGCUAGCCUGAACCAGCCAAGUAGCGUGAAGGAUGACUGCCCUAUGGGUUGUAAACUUCUUUUAUAUGGGAAUAAAGUGCAGUAUGUAUACUGCUUUGCAUGUACCUUAUGAAUAAGGAUCGGCUAACUCCGUGCCAGCAGCCGCGGUAAUACGGAGGAUGCGAGCGUUAUCCGGAUUUAUUGGGUUUAAGGGGUGCGUAGGCGGUCCGUUAAGUCAGCGGUAAAAUUGCGGGGCUCAACCCCGUCGAGCCGUUGAAACUGGCAGACUUGAGUUGGCGAGAAGUACGCGGAAUGCGCGGUGUAGCGGUGAAAUGCAUAGAUAUCGCGCAGAACUCCGAUUGCGAAGGCAGCGUACCGGCGCCAGACUGACGCUGAGGCACGAAAGCGUGGGGAUCGAACAGGAUUAGAUACCCUUGUAGUC
rnacentral:rRNA from 1 species